GAUGAACGCUGGCGGCGUGCCUAAUACAUGCAAGUCGAGCGAACAGAUGAGGAGCUUGCUCCUCUGACGUUAGCGGCGGACGGGUGAGUAACACGUGGAUAACCUACCUAUAAGACUGGGAUAACUUCGGGAAACCGGAGCUAAUACCGGAUAAUAUAUUGAACCGCAUGGUUCAAUAGUGAAAGACGGUUUUGCUGUCACUUAUAGAUGGAUCCGCGCCGCAUUAGCUAGUUGGUAAGGUAACGGCUUACCAAGGCAACGAUGCGUAGCCGACCUGAGAGGGGGAUCGGCACCACUGGAACUGAGACACGGUCCAGACUCCUACGGGAGGAAGCAGUAGGGAAUCUUCCGCAAUGGGCGAAAGCCUGACGGAGCAACGCCGCGUGAGUGAUGAAGGUCUUCGGAUCGUAAAACUCUGUUAUUAGGGAAGAGCAAAUGUGUAAGUAACUAUGCACGUCUUGACGGUACCUAAUCAGAAAGCCACGGCUAACUACGUG
rnacentral:rRNA from 1 species